AUUAUCCAUUAGCAUUAAGGUCCAAAAGUAAAAUAAAUCAUACCUAACUCAAAAACGCAUUCAACCCGAGCUUUUGAUAGCUCUAAAACACGGUAUAAUGAAAAUGCUCUAUGCAUUACCCUUCAAUAAGCAUCAGACAAAAUAACUUUGUGCUAAAACGUAAAUUUGGUCCAGAAAAAAAUUGAUUAAGAGAAAUAUAACUGAAAAACAAAGGAGAAUAUGUUCAAGAACAAGGUCUGGUUUAGUAUGACAUUCGCUAACUCAAGAGCUCGUUGAAUGUCAUAAAAAUAUUUAAUACAUUAGCAAUUGCUACCUUAAACAGCUCUUGAUUGUAGCAUAUAGGAGAGUUAAAUAGUAAAGAAAUAACUUUCUUAAUAAACUGGAUUGCUCAACUCUAUAAUAUAAAUAAUAUGAGAAGAUUUUGCUUUAUAUUAUUAGUUAAAUAGUUGCUUUCUCUACUCUUGUUUAUUUCCCGGGUAAAAAGUUUGCUAAUGUUAGU